GUGUGUGUGUGUGUGUGUGUGUGUGUGUGUGUGUGUGUGUGUGUGUGUGCGUGUGCGUGUGCGUGUGUGUGUGUGUGUGUGUGCGCGCUGUUUCCUCAAAACCCCUUGUUUUGGUUAUGACCACUACUUCCUGGUAAUCGUCAUGUACCUGAAAGUACGAUGUGUCUUUAUGAAAAUUGGGACACACACACACAUUUACACACACAUACAGAGCUCAGAGAUCUGCCUGCUAACUUAAUGUUCUUCUGCCGCCUGCCCCAACGUCCUGUCACUUGGAUUUGAUGUGUUUUGCAUUGUACUGUACCUGUAAUGUAUUGUAUAUAUGCUCAUAUUGUACAGCUGUACAGAGAGGGAGUGUGCUGUGUGUCACAGAGGAUGCUGGUACUAUUUUUUUCUCCAGAGAUUAAGGGUUUUAGGAUUUGAGAGGACAAGUUCUGGAAGAAUCGCCUCAUUUGCAGCAUGUUUGUUAAAGAUUCGUAUUACUCUAAUGUUGCUUUAGCUGGGGUUGUUUACUGUGUUAUGCUUUACGUGCUGUUAGCAAUCAUUUUUUGACACACCAACAGGCCUAACCGAAUGUUAAAGGGAAACAAUCAAGCUAAACUUUAAAGGCAAUCAUACUUUUACCUUUUGGAAGUAUGUUUAAUAGCUUCCACGCAGUUAGACAAGACUAGCUCUCUCUUAUCUGUCUCUAAAGUAGAGCUGCAGCCAGGAUAUCAUUUGCUUAGGCUAAAGGCUUGUCUAAUGAAAUUGUAACCUUAGAUUUGCAAAACACUUGCACACAUGCUCUCCCACUAACACCCGUAGGAUGGCUUUUUGAGUCCUACGUGAAACCUACAGUAAGAUUCAUGUUUUAUAUUCAAGCCCAGACCCAAAUCUUUAGCUAAACCAAGUUUUUGUCCCAAAGCACUUGCACAUGUUUCACAGCAUUUACCAAGCAUUGGUAAUGUUAAUGUUGAAGGUUAACUUUAGGCACUAUCUCUUGGGUAAUAGUCUUGCAUUAAACCCAAUAAUUGUCUUAUUGCACUAUUCUACACGGACUUUACGGACUACAAAAUAGAAUAACAAACACAACACACAAUGAAGAAAAUGUAAAAAAAAUCUUGCGAGCUUGGAUAUCUAAGGUUCGUUUGACACAGAAGCAGCUAGUUUGUCUCUCUAAAGUUUUAAUACAAACCGUUAGGCUCCUUCAAAGCCGACUCAUUGGAUAGAAAAAGCCAAUCAAAUGUAAUGCUAAGCUAAGCACAUUUUCUCAACGCUUAGAUGGACAUUACAGUGGUAUUUACUGUCAGAAAGAAAAACAUAUGAUAGAACAUGGAGACUGAGCAUGUAUUAAAAGUGCUUCAAAGACUUUUGACAUAAUUAUUUUUGAGGCACACAUAUACGACCCGCAAAAAACUGCUCCCGACACACUUUUCAGUUGAGAGCCACUAAAUUAAAGUAGGCCUAUAUACGUUAUUUGUGCUCUCCUAAAUCUUCUCCAAACAGCCUGAGCAGCCAAACAUUUCUAGUAAGGACCUAAAUAUUUACUCAUUUAUCGUCUUUAAACGGGGCAAACACUAUGAUUCAUCUCUGCUCCCCCACUUUGGGCUGAAAGUGCAAGACUAGUUGUUUAUUAAAGAAGUAAAUAUUGGACUCUCCCUGGGAACUAAAUGCUGCAGUGCACAAGCUCUUUGGGGAACCUGAACAGAUAUUUAAUGCUUAAGUUUUGGAGUUAGAAAAUGAGAUGCUCUGGAAGAAGGCUGAGAAGGAUCAAGUUUAUCGGGUGUUUUGAGGAACACCACAAAAUAAUGAUUUAUAUGGAAGUCGAAUGAAUCCCUCCUGAGUAAACUUGCUCAAAGUGUUUUGUAAAUAUGAAAGGGAAUCAAGGACACGAUGGAGGACCAAAAACUCGAGGGCCAGCCGGUGCCGGGUAGCAAGACAUUAAAACAGACAUUUUUAUGAAUUGAUCAGAGAAUAACUCAUCACAAUUCAGAUAUAUAAAGUUCAGACAGACCUAGCCUCUUUGUGAGAAUGUUUUGUUUGUAAUUGUAUUUGUUGGGAACAUUUGUCGCCUGACAGCCAUUUUGGCCGCGAUCCAACACUGUUUGAAGGUUGCCUUGUAUUUAAUAAUAGUUCGGGAAUAAAACAGAGGGUGUCCAUUGCUAGAGUGGAUCAAUAAGAGCCAUCUGCCUCUCAGGCCAGAGGACGAUGCUGAUGCUUGGAAAAGUCAAAUGCAUACCACAAAUAAGAGUUUAUACUGACAUUGUUAAAGGUGUCAUUUUAAUUACGUCUGACUGGCUUAAGAUAGAUCUACGUCUUGCUGUUAAAAUCCUAAAUCUGGAGUUUAGCAGCUGCUUUAAGUUAAGUAAAGUA